rnacentral:rRNA from 1 species
UACGAAGGGGCUAGCGUUGCUCGGAAUCACUGGGCGUAAAGCGCACGUAGGCGGCUUUCUAAGUCAGGGGUGAAAUCCUGGAGCUCAACUCCAGAACUGCCUUUGAUACUGGAGAGCUUGAGUCCGGAAGAGGUGAGUGGAACUCCGAGUGUAGAGGUGAAAUUCGUAGAUAUUCGGAAGAACACCAGUGGCGAAGGCGGCUCACUGGCCCGGUACUGACGCUGAGGUGCGAAAGCGUGGGGAGCAA